GGCGCGUCUCGGCGCUCCCGCUCGCGCUGCGGCUCGCGCUGUCCCCGGCUUGGCCGCGCGGGAUGCCGCCCGGGCGGAGCGCUGACGUCACCGCCAUGCUCUGCACCAGUUCUCCCCCCUCCCUCCCCUUUACACUUCCUCUGUCUGUGGAGCCCACUUGUUGCUCAGGAAAGGCGCAUGCGCGGCAGGACGCCCAGAUUCCUCCCAGUCGGCCCCGCCCCCGCGCCCCCGCCGUCCCCCCCCCCCCCCCCCCACCGUGUGUGUACAACAGCUGAGGCCCUGCGAGCUAAUGCUGGACGUCCUGGACUGGGGGGUGGAAAUUAAACAGACGAUGACCUUUCCUUUCCCCGCCCGGCUUUCCCAAGUAAAAACGCAUUUAAAAACCACAAGCGUCAUUUCCGAUCCCGCUCCCCACCCCACCCCGAGCAGUGCAUUUAAAUGUCCAGUUUCAAGAUUUUCAUUGCGAAUUUCUUCUAGGGUAUUACUCAUUUCGUCUGUAAUCAAACCCCCCCCCCCGUAUGGAUGUUGCAUUCAUUGCUACUACUGAUGCCAAAGCACCUGCAAAAUUAGCUGUUUUCCAUUUGCCCAGAAACUGCCUUUUCGAUUUGUUUUUGUGCUCUGGUCUAGGAACCUGAGUUUCAACGACAGCUAAAUGAAUUCAGGGUGAGCUACUCCUCCUCCCAGUCGCACUCUAAAAAUUUUGGCUGAAUGUCUAAAGAAGCUACGAGCACCCGGAGGCCUUUAAGGAAAACACUGGCUGCGCACAGCUGCAGUUGGGGGCAGGGAUGGGGAAGGUGCUCACGGAGAGGCCAAACAGGAGAGGCACAACCGAGUCCCUGAGAACCCUGGGUUUAAGAACGAGCAUGACGUCACCUUGGGCAACAAUAACGGAGGCUAUGUUCCUGUCAGGGACGAGACACUGGGGGAUCGGAGGUGAAACCGAUCUGUCAUUGACACUCCUUCCUCUCUUCCAAAUGGGAAGAUUUGCAAAAGCCAUCUUGUGGCCCUUGAGUGCCUUCCCAGAUGGAGGCCAGCUCCGAACAGCCUGGACACCGCCCGUGCUCUGCCCUGUGACAACAGGGUGA
rnacentral:lncRNA from 1 species